UGAGGAAUAUUGGUCAAUGGGCGCAAGCCUGAACCAGCCAUCCCGCGUGCAGGAUGACGGCCCUAUGGGUUGUAAACUGCUUUUGUACAGGAAGAAAAAUCCCUACGAGUAGGGGCCUGCCGGUACUGUACGAAUAAGCAUCGGCUAACUCCGUGCCAGCAGCCGCGGUAAUACGUAGGGGGCAAGCGUUGUCCGGAUUUACUGGGGGUAAAGGGCGCGCAGGCGGGAUAAAAAGUCAGUGGUGAAAUCCUACAGCUUAACUGUAGAACUGCCAUUGAUACCUUUAUUCUUGAGUUCGGCAGAGAGAAACGGCAUGCCAGGUGUAGUGGUGAAAUACGUAUAUAUCUCGAAGAACACCAGUUGCGAAGGCUGUCUCUUGGUCCGACACUGACGCUGAGGCGCGAAAGCGUCGG
rnacentral:rRNA from 1 species